GACACGGGGCUCUGGGGGCCAAAGGGCAUGAUGCCGAGGGCCUGGUGUGCUCCGCCUGGCCUAAGCCUACCGAGGAGGAGCCCAUGUGGGUCCAAACAGUGAUCUAGCUUCUGAGUAGAGAAGGCUUAAAAUAGUGGUAAUCAUUCCAGCAGCUGCCGUUUGCUGAGCGCUUGCUGUGAGCAGGCACCCUGCCAAGAGCUCUUCAUGUGUGACCUCAUGUCCACCUCUCUCCCUGGGAGCCAACGGCUCUUGAGGACACUUGGUUAUGGCGUCCCCCCUGGAACACUGGGCCUCAAGCAGCACAACUAACGCUCAUGGGACACUCACCGUGUGCCAAGCCCUUGCAUGCACUUCACCUCGUUGAAUCCGUACAGCCGUAUUUUGGGGUGAACUCAUCUGUAUCUAUGCUAAUAAACAACAGAAUAGAGAUAAAGGAAAGUUAUAGAGCAAUUAUCCAACCUCCCUUUCUUAAGUCAAUGGAUUACUUUCCUUUCCCCUAACAUUGGACAUCAGAGAUACCCACAAGGAGCCCCAUGUUCUCAACUACUUCCCUGGCCACUGACUUCAUCUGGCAGAGGAGCUGAGCAGCGGUAAAAUAGAAAAGGCAAUAAGAGAAGUGAAGUGAGAAAGGAAGAAGGGGCUUGAUUGUCAACAGAGUGAGAAAUCACCUCCUGGAAAAUGAAGCCUGUACUGUACAAGAACAACAAAAUGAUGAUGAUAAUAACAAUAAUAACAGUAAUUAGAUGUUGCUAUAAUGACCUCAUAAAGCCCAGUUUUUGCAGAAAAAUAAUUUCUUCCUGCUCGUGACGUUGAGGAACUGACAUCGCUUCCUGUGGCUUAGAGACUCAAACAGAGCAUGGGGCCCACGUUACCACUUCUGAAAGGAACAUUCCCUGUAAACAGAGUGAGUCAAGCCAGUGUCGUUUCCCUGGUGAUCGGAGCAUAGUGAUCCUUCUACAAGGCAUACACCCAGCACGCUCCAUGCAGAAAAUCAAUGAGCCUGGUCAGGCAUUUCAGCUUUAAUUAUCUGAGUUGUUGUCAACAACAGAAAUCCCAGUGAAAACAAACAGCCACCAUGCUGUUUUGGGGGCCCUGACAUCUAACUCCCUAGUGUCAGAAUAUAGCUUUUUCAGAGCCAAAGACUGAAGUGAGGUGGGGAGAGAGAAAGGGCAGCUAUCCCCCGGGUCAUGCACUCAGUUGUCGAGGUGCUGAGAGCCACCCUGCACGUUUGACCUGCUGGGCAGGAGGUGGAGCUGGAGCCAGCAGGGACAGCGCCCGGGUCCAGGGCAGAUGUGCGCCUCCUGCUGCCCUGGAGAGGCGGUAAUAGCACAGUGGUCAGAGCAAAGGCUCCUGAUUCAGGCAUGGUCUGAUCCUGCCUCCUCUGAUAACUUGCUGGAUAAUCUUGGUGGUUCUGGAAAGCUUAUAAGCCUCAGUGCCCCUGUCCAAGGGUGUGAGGAUCUCAGGAGAUAAUUCACAUAGAAAGUCCUGCACAGCUGCUAUUGCCCCUGGGACCAGGCUUCUGGACACCACCCUCCUCUCCUCCGGUUUCCCACCCUGAUGUCUCAGUCUUGCCUUCCACUCGCCCUCCUGUACGGCAUCUACUCACCUAGCUCUGGCCCCUUCCGCUGCCACAUUUAGUCCUGCUGUCCCCUCCCAGGUGCUGGUAGAGAAGCCAAGGAGGUAAGGGUUGA
rnacentral:lncRNA from 10 species